GAUGAACGCUGACAGAAUGCUUAACACAUGCAAGUCAACUUGAACUUCGGUUUGGGUGGCGGACGGGUGAGUAACGCGUAAAGAACUUGCCUCACAGAUAGGGACAACAUUUGGAAACGAAUGCUAAUACCUGAUAUUAUGAUUAUAUGGCAUCGUAUAAUUAUGAAAGCUAUAUGCGCUGUGAGAGAGCUUUGCGUCCCAUUAGCUAGUUGGAGAGGUAACGGCUCACCAAGGCGAUGAUGGGUAGCCGGCCUGAGAGGGUGAUCGGCCACAAGGGGACUGAGACACGGCCCUUACUCCUACGGGAGGCAGCAGUGGGGAAUAUUGGACAAUGGACCAAGAGUCUGAUCCAGCAAUUCUGUGUGCACGAUGAAGUUUUUCGGAAUGUAAAGUGCUUUCAGUUGGGAAGAAAAAAAUGACGGUACCAACAGAAGAAGUGACGGGUAAAUACGUG
rnacentral:rRNA from 1 species